AGAGAUGUAAGCUCAGUGGUAGAACAUCUGCUUUGCAAGCAGAGCAUUUCUGGUUCAAUCCCUGGCAACUCCU